AUGCGAUGCUUACUUGCUAGGAAAGCGAGGCAAUAAUAAAGCUUUAGAGCCCAUCUAGCAGUUGUAGGUCGUAGCCUACCUAGGGGUCUCUAGAAGCGAAUAAACUAUAGCCAUGGAGCCGUUGGAGUUGUUCGAUCAAGCAUCUAUGGCAUUAGUUGUCUGUAGAUCUUGUCCGGACGAGUCUUAAUGACUCUGGGCAGUACUUUAAAACAUUUGGUUUGUAAUAAAUUGAAUCUGAGUUGUCGAAACAGUACUAUUUGUUUAGUUGUAUUCUAUGAUGACUUGUUUAUUUAUUUGGGAUACGGUAUGGGACGUAUC
rnacentral:lncRNA from 1 species